rnacentral:rRNA from 1 species
UACGUAGGGUGCGAGCGUUAAUCGGAAUUACUGGGCGUAAAGCGUGCGCAGGCGGCGCGUUAAGACAGGUGUGAAAGCCCCGAGCUUAACUUGGGAAUUGCGCUUGUGACUGGCGUGCUGGAGUGUGGGAGAGGGAGGUGGAAUUCCACGUGUAGCAGUGAAAUGCGUAGAGAUGUGGAGGAACACCGAUGGCGAAGGCAGCCUCCUGGGCCAGCACUGACGCUCAUGCACGAAAGCGUGGGGAGCAAACAGG